UGGAAGUAAAAAGUCGUAACAAGGUUUCCGUAGGUGAACCUGCGGAAGGAUCAUUACCGAGUGAGGGCUGCCUCCGGGCGCCCAACCUCCCACCCGUGAAUACCUAACACUGUUGCUUCGGCGGGGAGCCCUCUCGGGGGCGAGCCGCCGGAGACCACUGAACUUCAUGCCUGUAGUGAUGAGUCUGAGCCUAAAUGAAAAUUUAGUCAAAACUUUCAACAAUGGAUCUCUUGGUUCCGGCAUCGAUGAAGAACGCAGCGAACUGCGAUAAGUAAUGUGAAUUGCAGAAUUCAGUGAAUCAUCGAGUCUUUGAACGCACAUUGCGCCCCCUGGCAUUCCGGGGGGCAUGCCUGUCCGAGCGUCAUUGCUGCCCUUCAAGCCCGGCUUGUGUGUUGGGUCGUCGUCCCCCCCGGGGGACGGGCCCGAAAGGCAGCGGCGGCACCGUGUCCGGUCCUCGAGCGUAUGGGGCUUUGUCACCCGCUCGAUUAGGGCCGGCCGGGCGCCAGCCGGCGUCUCCAACCUUUAUUUUUCUCAGGUUGACCUCGGAUCAGGUAGGGAUACCCGCUGAACUUAAGCAUAUCAAUAAGCGGGAGGAA
rnacentral:misc_RNA from 1 species